AUCAAUCAGCUGUUCCCGGGUCCCUACAUUUUGAGGGGAGCUAAAACUAUUUCUAGCACCAAAAGACCAUCAUCCCGGGCAUUAACGAAGACCAGAGAAACCAACUUUCCAUCAUCUUAGUGUGCAAAAGGACAGCAAAUGUGUGGCCAACAGAAUUAACACAAGAUAUGGGUUGGUAUCACUCCCUGAAGACGAACGAGGAAGAGAACAUGACGUUGCACAUUGGAAUGACUGAAACUGACAGUGGUCCUCGCUGAUGCUGGUGAUUCUGGG
rnacentral:lncRNA from 1 species